rnacentral:rRNA from 1 species
GACGAACGCUGGCGGCGUGCUUAACACAUGCAAGUCGAACGGAAAGGCCCUGCUUUUGUGGGGUGCUCGAGUGGCGAACGGGUGAGUAACACGUGAGUAACCUUCCCUUUACUUUGGGAUAACUUCAGGAAACUGUGGCUAAUACCGGAUAGGAGCUCCUGCUGCAUGGUGGGGGUUGGAAAGUUUCGGCGGUUGGGGAUGGACUCGCGGCUUAUCAGCUUGUUGGUGGGGUAGUGGCUUACAAAGGCUUUGACGGGUAGCCGGCCUGAGAGGGUGACCGGCCACAUGGGGACUGAGAUACGGCCCAGACUCCUACGGGAGGCAGCAGUGGGGAAUAUGGCACAAUGGGCGGAAGCCUGAUGCAGCAACGCCGCGUGCGAGAUGACGGCCUUCGGGUUGUAAACCGCUUUCGCCUGGGACGAAGCGUGAGUGACGGUAAUGGGUAAAGAAGCACCGGCUAACUACGUG